rnacentral:rRNA from 1 species
GGCGUGUGACUGCGUACCUUUUGUAUAAUGGGUCAGCGACUUAUAUUCUGUAGCAAGGUUAACCGAAUAGGGGAGCCGAAGGGAAACCGAGUCUUAACUGGGCGUUAAGUUGCAGGGUAUAGACCCGAAACCCGGUGAUCUAGCCAUGGGCAGGUUGAAGGUUGGGUAACACUAACUGGAGGACCGAACCGACUAAUGUUGAAAAAUUAGCGGAUGACUUGUGGCUGGGGGUGAAAGGCCAAUCAAACCGGGAGAUAGCUGGUUCUCCCCGAAAGCUAUUUAGGUAGCGCCUCGUGAAUUCAUCUCCGGGGGUAGAGCACUGUUUCGGCAAGGGGGUCAUCCCGACUUACCAACCCGAUGCAAACUGCGAAUACCGGAGAAUGUUAUCACGGGAGACACACGGCGGGUGCUAACGUCCGUCGUGAAGAGGGAAACAACCCAGACCGCCAGCUAAGGUCCCAAAGUCAUGGUUAAGUGGGAAACGAUGUGGGAAGGCCCAGACAGCCAGGAUGUUGGCUUAGAAGCAGCCAUCAUUUAAAGAAAGCGUAAUAGCUCACUGGUCGAGUCGGCCUGCGCGGAAGAUGUAACGGGGCUAAACCAUGCACCGAAGCUGCGGCAGCGACGCUGAUGCGUUGUUGGGUAGGGGAGCGUUCUGUAAGCCUGCGAAGGUGUGCUGUGAGGCAUGCUGGAGGUAUCAGAAGUGCGAAUGCUGACAUAAGUAACGAUAAAGCGGGUGAAAAGCCCGCUCGCCGGAAGACCAAGGGUUCCUGUCCAACGUUAAUCGGGGCAGGGUGAGUCGACCCCUAAGGCGAGGCCGAAAGGCGUAGUCGAUGGGAAACAGGUUAAUAUUCCUGUACUUGGUGUUACUGCGAAGGGGGGACGGAGAAGGCUAUGUUGGCCGGGCGACGGUUGUCCCGGUUUAAGCGUGUAGGCUGGUUUUCCAGGCAAAUCCGGAAAAUCAAGGCUGAGGCGUGAUGACGAGGCACUACGGUGCUGAAGCAACAAAUGCCCUGCUUCCAGGAAAAGCCUCUAAGCAUCAGGUAACAUCAAAUCGUACCCCAAACCGACACAGGUGGUCAGGUAGAGAAUACCAAGGCGCUUGAGAGAACUCGGGUGAAGGAACUAGGCAAAAUGGUGCCGUAACUUCGGGAGAAGGCACGCUGAUAUGUAGGUGAGGUCCCU